AGCAGCCGCGGUAAUUCCAGCUCCAAUAGCGUAUAUUAAAGUUGCUGCAGUUAAAAAGCUCGUAGUUGAAUUUCGGGACUAAUAUGUCGGUCGUGCCUCGGUACGUACUGGUUUAUUGGUUUCUCCUUUCUGAAGAACCAUGAUGUCAUUUAUUUGGUGUCGUGGGGAAUCAGGACUGUUACUUUGAAAAAAUUAGAGUGUUUAAAGCAGGCUCACGCUUGAAUACAUUAGCAUGGAAUAAUGAAAUAGGACGUUUGAUUCUAUUUUGUUGGUUUCUAGGAUCGACGUAAUGAUUAAUAGGGAUAGUUGGGGGCAUUAGUAUUCAAUUGUCAGAGGUGAAAUUCUUGGAUUUAUUGAAGACUAACUACUGCGAAAGCAUUUGCCAAGGAUGUUUUCAUUAAUCAAGAACGAAAGUUAGGGGAUCGAAGACGAUCAGAUACCGUCGUAGUCUUAACCAUAAACUAUGCCGACUAGGGAUCGGAUGAUGUUAAUUUUUAAUGACUCAUUCGGUGCC
rnacentral:rRNA from 1 species